AGCGAACGCUGGCGGCAGGCCUAAUACAUGCAAGUCGAACGCACCUUCGGGUGAGUGGCGGACGGGUGAGUAACGCGUGGGAACGUGCCCUUUGGUUCGGAACAACACAGGGAAACUUGUGCUAAUACCGAAUGUGCCCUUCGGGGAAGGAUUUAUCGCCAUUGGAGCGGCCCGCGUUGGAUUAGCUAGUUGGUAGGGUAAAAGCCUACCAAGGCUACGAUCCAUAGCUGGUCUGAGAGGAUGAUCAGCCACACUGGGACUGAGACACGGCCCA
rnacentral:rRNA from 1 species